AUGGUACUCCUUCCAAAAACCCUGGCGCCAACAUCUCCAGAUGCUUUUAGACCCAUCUCUCUUCAAAAUUGCACUCCAAAAGCAGUUGCCAAAGUCCUUACAAAUAGAGUAAAACCACUCAUCCCGCUGCUCAUUCAUUAUGAUCAAACGGGCUUCCUACAUGGACGCAACAUUGCUGAAAACUUCAUUUAUGCUGCUGAUAUCCUAAGUGCUUGCCACACACGUAAAGCCCCGACCAUGGUCUUCAAGCUUGACUUCAGGAAAGCUUUUGACUCCAUUUGCUAGUCCUCCCUCAUCGAAAUCCUGCAAGCUCGAGGGUUCCCUCCAAUUUUCUGUUCAUGGGUCCAAAACAUCCUGCUCACUGGGAAAACGGCUAUCCUCCUAAAUGGCAUUCCGGGGCCUUGGAUCCAAUGUAGAUGUGGCCUACGCCAAGGGGAUCCAUUCUCGCCAUACUUGUUCAUCAUCGUUGCAGAUGUUCUUCAAAGAUUGAUCGCCGGCGCUUUCCAAAUGAACGUACUUUGCCACCCGCUACGACCAAAGAACCACCAGUGA
rnacentral:rRNA from 1 species